GGUGCGUAACGCGUAUGCAACCUACCCUUUACUGGGGGAUAGCCCGAAGAAAUUCGGAUUAACACCCCAUAGUAUUAUUCUUUCGCAUGUUAGAAUAAUUAAAGAUUACGGUAAAGGAUGGGCAUGCGUCCCAUUAGCUAGAUGGUAAGGUAACGGCUUACCAUGGCUACGAUGGGUAGGGGGCCUGAGAGGGUGAUCCCCCACACUGGUACUGAGACACGGACCAGACUCC
rnacentral:rRNA from 1 species